GAUGAACGCUGACAGAAUGCUUAACACAUGCAAGUCUUUGGCGAAGCUGUGCUUGCACAGCCUAGCCAAGGCGGACGGGUGAGUAACGCGUAAGGAACUUGCCCUGCAGUCAGGGAUAACAGACGGAAACGACUGAUAAGACCUGGUAAAGUCAGGCGGACUCAUGUCCAGCCUGAUGAAAAGAGAUGCUGCAGGAGAGCCUUGCGUCCUAUUAGCUUGUUGGUGGGGUAACGGCCCACCAAGGCGAUGAUAGGUAGCUGGCCUGAGAGGGUGGACGGCCACAAGGGGACUGAGAUACGGCCCUUACUCCUACGGGAGGCAGCAGUGGGGAAUAUUGGACAAUGGGGGCAACCCUGAUCCAGCAAUUCUGUGUGCACGAUGAAGGUUUUCGGAUUGUAAAGUGCUUUCAGCAGGGAAGAAAAAAAUGACGGUACCUGCAGAAGAAGCGACGGCUAAAUACGUG
rnacentral:rRNA from 1 species